rnacentral:rRNA from 1 species
GGCCUUUUGAUUAUAAUUUAAGGUCGGGCCUGCCCAAUGAAAAAAUUUAAUGGCCGCGGUAUAUUAACUGUGCAAAGGUAGCAUAAUCAUUAGUUUUUUAAUUGAAAGCUGGAAUGAAGGGUUUAAUGAAAAAAGUUCUGUUUCUGUUUAAAUUUAUUAGAAUUUUAUUUUUAAGUUAAAAAGCUUAAAUAAUUAUUGAAGACGAGAAGACCCUAUAGAGUUUUAUAUUUUUGGAAAUUCUUUUAUUUGGUAAUUUUAAUUUAAUUUUUAAAAAUAUUUAGUUGGGGUGAUUGAAAAAUUGAAGUAACUUUUUUUUUAUUAAACAUUAAUGUAUGAGUAAAUGAUCCUUUAUUUAGAUUAAAAGAAAAAAUUACCUUAGGGAUAACAGCGUAAUUUUUUUUAGAGUUCUUAUCAAAAGAAAAGAUUGCGACCUCGAUGUUGGAUUAAAAUAAGUUUUUGGUGCAGAAGCUAAAAAACUAGGUCUGUUCGACCUUUAAAUUUUUACAUGAUCUGAGUUUAGACCGGUUUAAG